rnacentral:lncRNA from 1 species
GCUACCCAGUAGAAUAGAAAGAUGAACCUCUAGGUGCAGUUAACAUGUGAUACAGUCCUACUAUCGUGGAUCCCUACAGGACGGAGGUCAUGGACAACUCGUCAAACUCCAUCGUCUGUCAUAUGUCAAGAUUUAUUCGACUUGAGUUCGAUAGUGGAAAACUCUUUUUCCACUUUAUAUUACUGCCCUGGCCAAGGUCUUAGAACUCAGUCUAACAAAUCACAUAGGAUCACUCCUCUUCUAUCAAGGUCGA